rnacentral:rRNA from 1 species
AUGACUGACACGCAUUUAUCAAAUGGCAGCUAUCCCUUAGAAAACCCAGCGGGGAAUAUAAACAAGCUCAUCCUUCAACCUGCCAAGGAACCUGCAUCUAAGGACGACUCAAUGGAAGAGUGCACCAUCAAUUUUCCAUUUCCAGCCUUCAUGUCAAUUUUGUCCAAGACCUUGUCGAACAAGGAGCAUUCAGUCUGGUUGAUACCAACUAUAUUGGAAGUGAUCUUGACCGAGAAACUGAGGAGUGAACCCUUGUUCCACCUGGAGAAGACUUUCCGCAAUUCAGCAUUUGUGAGCAUGCCAACAGAGUUGAGAACAUUAUAUGCCUAG